rnacentral:rRNA from 1 species
ACACAUGCAAGUCGAACGGUAACAGGCCGCAAGGUGCUGACGAGUGGCGAACGGGUGAGUAAUGUAUCGGAACGUGCCCAGUCGUGGGGGAUAACGCAGCGAAAGCUGUGCUAAUACCGCAUACGAUCUAUGGAUGAAAGCGGGGGACCGUAAGGCCUCGCGCGAUUGGAGCGGCCGAUAUCAGAUUAGGUAGUUGGUGGGGUAAAGGCUCACCAAGCCAACGAUCUGUAGCUGGUCUGAGAGGACGACCAGCCACACUGGGACUGAGACACGGCCCAGACUCCUACGGGAGGCAGCAGUGGGAAUUUUGGACAAUGGGCGCAAGCCUGAUCCAGCAAUGCCGCGUGCGGGACGAAGGCCUUCGGGUUGUAAACUGCUUUUGUACGGAGCGAAAAGGCUCUCUCUAAUACAGGGAGUUCAUGACGGUACCGUAAGAAUAAGCACCGGCUAACUACGUG